GUCCUAAGCUAUUUUGGGCUUAAAAGAAAAUAAAAAAGCCUUAAUUACCUAAGAACCAAGUCGCAAAAGUCCUUUGUUAAGAAGUUUUUGGGCUGGUCCUUGUGGAUGCGUGGCAGCGUUGGAUUGGUCACUGCAACCUCCUCCUUUCCAUCUUCUUCCUUCUUCUCUAUUUUCCAAAUCGAUCGGUCACUGCAACCUCCUCCUCCAAAUCCGUCAAUGAAUCACAGUGAGGUUUAAGAUUUGAUGGAUCAAUUUUAAUUUGUCUCUGUUUUUGAAUUUAGUUUGCCGCUUGGUUUACUCUCUGUGUGAUUAUUGAAUCUCUCUCGAUCUGUUGUCGUUUGCUGUUUGUGGAUAUGAUCAUGAAGUUUCUGGGAACCCGAUGUUAAUCACUUCCCUAGAUUUACAGGAUAUAAACUAUGGAAGGCAGAUGCAAAAGUCUAGGCAGAAUAACAAGGCCGAGGGCCCGAGAUGAUAGAGUUGGCUAUCGAUACUCUCCGAUCUCUCGUCCGACUCAUCACUCCCUCGUCGCUCUCGUCUCACAACUCUCUGGGCUCUUCCCACUCUCUCGGGUCUCCCCACUCUCUCAUCUCUCCCGACUCUCUCUUGUUCUCUCCGCAUGUGUAUCUUGUUGAUCUUUGUUGUGAUUGCUUGAUUCCGUGUGUAGAUUAUAGAAAUUGGGAACUUGUAGUUUUCAUUAUUUAGAGUGGCGGAUUGUUUAUAGAAAUUGAUGAACUUGUAUUCGAUUUAUCUCCGCCGCAUCUGAUUCUUCAAUAUUUUCCUUGUUAUCUUUGAUAUGUUAUCUCAUUAUUUGUUGUGAUGAAAUGAUUACGGUUUACAGAUGCGAUGCUUGUUUCAUUUGCUGAUUGUUUCAUUUGCCGUUUGUAUAUGUAACCGAACUUCUUUAUAGAUUUGUAUAUGUAACCGAACUUGUUCAUUUG